ACCUCUUCGGAGGUUAGCGGCGGACGGGUGAGUAACAUCGUGGGCAACCUACCUUGUAGAUGGGGAUAACAUCGAGAAAUCGGUGCUAAUACCGAAUAAUACUUUUCUCCACAUGGAGGAAAGUUAAAAGUUGGCUUUUGCUAACACUACAAGAUGGGCCCGCGGCGCAUUAGCUAGUUGGUGAGGUAACGGCUCACCAAGGAGGGGAUGCGUAGCCGACCUGAGAGGGUGAUCGGCCACACUGGGAUUGAGUCUCGGCCCAGACGAAUACGGGAGGCAUCUUGUCGAUCUUGAUGUAAACUCGAACCUCCGGAAGAUCUGCGG
rnacentral:sRNA from 1 species